rnacentral:rRNA from 1 species
UACGGAGGGGGUUAGCGUUGUUCGGAAUUACUGGGCGUAAAGCGCACGUAGGCGGAUCAGAAAGUAUAGGGUGAAAUCCCAAGGCUCAACCUUGGAACUGCCUUAUAAACUCCUGGUCUUGAGUUCGAGAGAGGUGAGUGGAAUUCCAAGUGUAGAGGUGAAAUUCGUAGAUAUUUGGAGGAACACCAGUGGCGAAGGCGGCUCACUGGCUCGAUACUGACGCUGAGGUGCGAAAGUGUGGGGAGCAAACAGG